CCCAGCACCAGGUUCCGGUGAGGACCAUAGCAACUCCUGUCCGCACUUUGCAUACUUACAUUAGUUUCCUGAAGAAUUCUCCCAUUGUGCCUUGCCCGACAUCUGAGAGCAGUGAGUGGUCUGCCUGGCAUUGAAAAGGAAAAAGUUUCUGGAAGACCCACCUGGGGCUAGAAGCCUUGAAGUUGCUGCCCUGUUCUCUAGCCACUUGGGAGGACAAGGGUCUGUCUCAUCCCAAUGUAGUGCACGGGGACACGGGUCACGCUUUGAAGAGGGCGUGACAAAGGGGCUGUUCUCCGACACUCGCAUGGCAGGGAAUUUCUUGGUCCGCUGGUCCCUCAAUGACACAAUCAAUGAGUAAAGGGGGAUACCUUUACUCAUCACCUCAGACCUGAGCACGCCCUGGGCCCCAUUUGGGCAGAGCUUUGCUCUUUGCUUUUCUUUUAAAGUAAAGGGCCCAUCUGCUGCAGCUAGUGACCUGGCCAAAAAAGACACAGACUGCUGUGAAAUGAUUGAGGGCAGUGACUCCCCUCCCACCCCAGGAGCCAGAGCCGACAGAGCCAAGAGCAAGGCAGGAAUUCAGGUCCCCAAAAGCAAGCCAGAAGCACCACCUCCAAGCGCCCUGCCACUUCCUUUGUUCUUUGUUAAUUGCAAAAUAAACACAACCCUGCCCACCG
ensembl:lncRNA novel transcript